rnacentral:rRNA from 1 species
CCUACGGGAGGCAGCAGUGGGGAAUCUUGCGCAAUGGGCGAAAGCCUGACGCAGCCAUGCCGCGUGAAUGAUGAAGGUCUUAGGAUUGUAAAAUUCUUUCAGUAGGGACGAUAAUGACGGUACCUACAGAAGAAGCCCCGGCUAACUUCGUGCCAGCAGCCGCGGUAAUACGAAGGGGGCUAGCGUUGCUCGGAAUUACUGGGCGUAAAGGGAGCGUAGGCGGGUUAUCAAGUUGGAGGUGAAAGCCCAGGGCUCAACCUUGGAAUUGCCUUCAAAACUGAUAGCCUAGAGUAUGAUAGAGGUAUGUGGAACUCCGAGUGUAGAGGUGAAAUUCGUAGAUAUUCGGAAGAACACCAGUGGCGAAGGCGACAUACUGGGUCAUGACUGACGCUGAGGCUCGAAAGCGUGGGGAGCAAACAGGAUUAGAUACCCGUGGUAGUCCACGCUGUAAACGAUGAUUGCUAGUGUCGGACGCAUGUCGUCGGUGACGCGAGCUACGACAUAGACAGACCGCCGUCGGGAGGUACGGUCGCGAGAGUAAACGUACGAAGUUAAGUUAGUAGNGUUGAGAGNGCGAGGACGACGACGAGGAGAGG